CCUCUCGCACCCAACCAAUCUUUCGUUCUUUCCUCCCAGCUAGGGUUCCUCCUCCGCCGCCGCCGUGGCCCUCACCCGUGCUCGUGCUUCAUCUUCCGUCCCGAGCUCCACCUUAGCCUUUCUUUUCCUCCCUCUGCCUCUCCUCUCUCGCCUCUCCGCUAGGGUUGCCGCAGCCACCAUCCAUGCUCCUCAACCGGGGAUGGGGCAGAAGAAGCGUCGCUGGUGGUGAUGGCCUCCUCAGACUGCGGCGGCGCAGACGAGUCGAGGGGGCGGGGCCAACCCGUUGGCCGAGCUGACCGACCGCUUCAGGUCGCUGGAGGCCGAGGCAGAGGAGGUCUAACAGGUGGAGGGGGUGGCCGUGGGAGGAGCAACCCACAACAAAAUGCGACCUGGUUGGUUUCGUAGAUCAUCGAUCUGUCCUUAUGCAGGUUGUCUCUCUCCUUUCCCUCUCCUAAUUUUUUUACCGCCCCCGCCUUCAUCCGUCUGCACAAGUUUCAGUUGUUUGAUGUAUGUGCGUUUGCAGUUUUUAUGAUUUUGAUGUGGAGUUUGUGUUGCAGUAAUGCUGACAAGAAAACUGCAGAAUGAGUAAAGAUUGGAGGCUUGGAGGCGAUGGGAUCAAAUGGUUUAUUUUAAGAGAACGAUAGUAUCUUUGUCUUGUCUAUUGUACGGCAAAGUAUGUUACCGGUGUACAUAUAUUUCGGUUAUCUAUCUGUUCUGUAGUAGAGUAUCUGAACCUGGUGUAAAGAACUGAAGCAUCUGGGUUGCUCAUAACAGGGCAGGUGAGAGUUUCUCAUCUUUUGAGAAGUAGGCCCCGUGUUUGCGCUCAAAGGAGUUUCUCAUCUUUUGAAACCUAGGCACCAUUUUUUAGUUCAAGGGAGACGCCAUUUUUGGCUUGCACGGCAUUGAAUUCUUAAGCAAGAACCUACGCAAGGUGUUGAGCGACGGUGUAAAACAUUUUUUGCUAGGUUUGGAUGAUUAACUCUUUUUGUGCAUCUAGGUCAAACCAGUACGUACCCAGUUUAUCCUGAAACUAAGGCCCUUUGGUGUUUUAGCAUGACGUUCCAUAUUUCUCAUUGGGAGAAGGAAGAAGUGUUGCUUGACUAGAAUGAGAUCACAGAGAAAUCUGGUUAUGUGCACAUUGAGAGCUUCUUCUGCUCGAGGCAGCCGUCGUCCACAUGCUCCUCCUAAAGUUCCUCCUUGUCCACGGGAGAUGCUGGUGAUGCCAGCUUCCCUCCACGCACAAGCAUGAUAUAAUACCCAUAUUUCUCUCUAUCUUCUCAUGUUGCUGCAGCAACUUCAUAAAUUGUAACUUGAGACACCGCCCUGCGGGAUUACCAUCAGUAUUUACAAGAAAAUGAGGUGAAAGUGAGUACAUUUGGAAGCUACUCUAUGAAUAAUGGAGGAUGCACCAGCAGCAAUGUGAAGCAAAAUUUCCAGGGAUUCAAGCAUGCGAUGCUUGGUUUGAGGAGCUUCGCAAGCAGAGAGUUGUUAAAUUGAAACAGGAGGCGGCUCGGCGCCGCCGACUCCCCACCAGCCAUCGAGCAUGGUGAUGUCUACUACACAACCUUCUUCUUGUAGACGUUGUUGGGCCUCCAAGUGCAGAGAUUUGUAGGACAGUAGCAAAUUUCCCUCAAGUGGAUGACCUAAGGUUUAUCAA